rnacentral:rRNA from 1 species
CGGGACGGGUGAGUAAUGCUUGGGAAUCUAGCUUAUGGAGGGGGAUAACUACGGGAAACUGUAGCUAAUACCGCGUAGUAUCGGAAGAUGAAAGUGUGGGACCUUCGGGCCACAUGCCAUAGGAUGAGCCCAAGUGGGAUUAGGUAGUUGGUGAGGUAAAGGCUCACCAAGCCGACGAUCUCUAGCUGGUCUGAGGGGAUGACCAGCCACACUGGGACUGAGACACGGCCCAG